rnacentral:rRNA from 1 species
AGUGAACGCUGGCGGUAGGCCUAACACAUGCAAGUCGAACGGCAGCACAGUAAGAGCUUGCUCUUACGGGUGGCGAGUGGCGGACGGGUGAGGAAUACAUCGGAAUCUACUUUUUCGUGGGGGAUAACGUAGGGAAACUUACGCUAAUACCGCAUACGACCUACGGGUGAAAGCAGGGGAUCUUCGGACCUUGCGCGAUUGAAUGAGCCGAUGUCGGAUUAGCUAGUUGGCGGGGUAAAGGCCCACCAAGGCGACGAUCCGUAGCUGGUCUGAGAGGAUGAUCAGCCACACUGGAACUGAGACACGGUCCAGACUCCUACGGGAGGCAGCAGUGGGGAAUAUUGGACAAUGGGCGCAAGCCUGAUCCAGCCAUACCGCGUGGGUGAAGAAGGCCUUCGGGUUGUAAAGCCCUUUUGUUGGGCAAGAAAAGCAGCAGGUUAAUACCCCGCUGUUCUGACGGUACCCAAAGAAUAAGCACCGGCUAACUUCGUG